rfam:Oryctes borbonicus contig17061, whole genome shotgun sequence.
GGCGCCGUGGCUUAGUUGGUUAAAGCGCCUGUCUAGUAAACAGGAGAUCGUGGGUUCGAAUCCCGCCGGGGCCU